GCGGGUAUAGUAUAACGGCUAUUAUCGCAGCUUUCCAAGCUGAGGAUGGGGGUUCGAUUCCCCCUACCCGCUCCA
rnacentral:tRNA from 1 species